rnacentral:rRNA from 1 species
GAUGAAUGCUGGCGGCGUGCCUAAUACAUGCAAGUCGAGCGAACAGACGAGGAGCUUGCUCUUCUGACGUUAGCGGCGGACGGGUGAGUAACACGUGGAUAACCUACCUAUAAGACUGGGAUAACUUCGGGAAACCGGAGCUAAUACCGGAUAAUAUAUUGAACCGCAUGGUUCAAUAGUGAAAGACGGUUUUGCUGUCACUUAUAGAUGGAUCCGCGCCGCAUUAGCUAGUUGGUAAGGUAACGGCUUACCAAGGCGACGAUGCGUAGCCGACCUGAGAGGGUGAUCGGCCACACUGGAACUGAGACACGGUCCAGACUCCUACGGGAGGCAGCAGUAGGGAAUCUUCCGCAAUGGGCGAAAGCCUGACGGAGCAACGCCGCGUGAGUGAUGAAGGUCUUCGGAUCGUAAAACUCUGUUAUUAGGGAAGAACAAAUGUGUAAGUAACUAUGCACGUCUUGACGGUACCUAAUCAGAAAGCCACGGCUAACUACGUG